AAUCUUCCGCAAUGGACGAAAGUCUGACGGAGCAACGCCGCGUGAGUGAUGAAGGUUUUCGGAUCGUAAAACUCUGUUGUUAGGGAAGAACAAGUAUCGGAGUCACUGCCGGUACCUUGACGGUACCUGACGAGAAAGCCACGGCUAACUACGUGCCAGCAGCCGCGGUAAUACGUAGGUGGCAAGCGUUGUCCGGAUUUAUUGGGCGUAAAGCGCGCGCAGGCGGUCUUUUAAGUCUGAUGUGAAAUCUUACAGCUUAACUGUAAGCGGUCAUUGGAAACUGGGAGACUUGAGUGCAGGAGAGGAAAGUGGAAUUCCUAGUGUAGCGGUGAAAUGCGUAGAGAUUAGGAGGAACACCAGUGGCGAAGGCGACUUUCUGGACUGUAACUGACGCUGAGGUACGAAAGCGUGGGUAGCGAACAG
rnacentral:rRNA from 1 species